UACGUAGGUGGCAAGCGUUGUCCGGAUUUACUGGGCGUAAAGAGCGCGCAGGCGGUCGAAUAAGUCGAAUGUGAAAAGCCCCCCGGCUUAACUGGGGGAGGGUCAUUCGAUACUGUUCGACUUGAAGGCAGGAGAGGGGCAGCAGAAAUUCCCGGUGUAGUGGUGAAAAUGCGUAGAUAUCGGGAGGAAUACCAGUGGCGAAGGCGGCUGCCUGGGCUAACACUGACGCUCAUGCACGAAAGCGUGGGGGAGCAAACAGG
rnacentral:rRNA from 1 species